rnacentral:rRNA from 1 species
UACGUAGGGGGCAAGCGUUGUCCGGAAUCACUGGGCGUAAAGGGCGCGUAGGCGGCCUGAUAAGUAGGGGGUGAAAUCCUGCGGCUUAACCGCAGGGCUGCCUUCUAAACUGUCAGGCUCGAGCACAGUAGAGGCAGGUGGAAUUCCCGGUGUAGCGGUGGAAUGCGUAGAGAUCGGGAAGAACAUCAGUGGCGAAGGCGGCCUGCUGGGCUGUUGCUGACGCUGAGGCGCGACAGCGUGGGGAGCAACAGG